rnacentral:rRNA from 1 species
GAUGAACGCUGGCGGCGUGCCUAAUACAUGCAAGUCGAGCGAACGGACGAGGAGCUUGCUCCUCUGACGUUAGCGGCGGACGGGUGAGUAACACGUGGAUAACCUACCUAUAAGACUGGGAUAACUUCGGGAAACCGGAGCUAAUACCGGAUAAUAUAUUGAACCGCAUGGUUCAAUAGUGAAAGACGGUUUUGCUGUCACUUAUAGAUGGAUCCGCGCCGCAUUAGCUAGUUGGUAAGGUAACGGCUUACCAAGGCAACGAUGCAUAGCCGACCUGAGAGGGUGAUCGGCCACACUGGAACUGAGACACGGUCCAGACUCCUACGGGAGGCAGCAGUAGGGAAUCUUCCGCAAUGGGCGAAAGCCUGACGGAGCAACGCCGCGUGAGUGAUGAAGGUCUUCGGAUCGUAAAACUCUGUUAUUAGGGAAGAACAUAUGUGUAAGUAACUGUGUACAUCUUGACGGUACCUAAUCAGAAAGCCACGGCUAACUACGUG